rnacentral:rRNA from 2 species
GUCCUUUAGAAUAUAAUUAAAGGUCUAACCUGCUCACUGAUUUAUUAAAGAGCUGCAGUAUUUUGACUGUACAAAGGUAGCAUAAUCAUUAGUUUUUUAAUUGAAAGCUUGUAUGAAUGGUUGGACGAGAUAAAAUCUGUCUUUUUUUAAUAAAUAGAACUUAAUUUUUAAGUUAAAAAGCUUAAAUUUUUAUAAAAGACGAGAAGACCCUAUAGAUCUUUAUAUUAAUUUGAAUUAUUUUAAUUUAUAUAUUUAUUUUUAAUUAAAAUUAAUAUUUUAUUGGGGUAAUAAAAAGAUUUGAAUAAUUCUUUUUUAAAUUUAACAUAUAUUUAUGAAAAAUUGAUCCAGUAUUAUUGAUUAAAAGAUUAAGUUACCUUAGGGAUAACAGCGUAAUUUUUUUAGAGAGUUCAUAUCGAUAAAAAAGUUUGCGACCUCGAUGUUGGAUUAAAAUUUAUCUUAGGUGUAGAAGUUUAAGAUUUUAGUCUGUUCGACUAUUAAAAUUUU